CACCGUGCCUCCUGCCUUGCUGGGAAGGUGAUGUAUUAGUCAGCUAACGCUGCUGUAACCACGUCCCACAGACCACGGGGCUCACACAUGAGAAAUGGAGUCUCACAGCGCCGGAGGCAGCAAGUCCAAGAUCAAGAGCUGGGAAAGGUCCGGGCCGUGUUUCGGAAGGAUCACGGUGGCAGCUUCACGGAGGCUGGGUGAGGGCUGUGGCCCCUGAGAAUGGCGGCAUGUUUGGAAUCACCUAAGGAGAUUUAGAAGGCCCGACGUCCCUGCGGUAGCCCGGACCAAUCAAAUCCACCUGGCCGGGGUUCCACCCGGGCCUCUGUAACAUGUGGAAGCUUCCAGGAGACUCCCACGUGCAGCCCAGAGUGAGGACCACUCCAUCAGAGGGAGCCCCGAAAUCAAGACACCUGGUGUGGAAACGGAGCAAAAUUCAGAGCCUAGAUCUGUCCAGGCUCAUGUAGUACGAGAGCGUCACAAUUGUUGAACCGAUUCCAGACCCAGCCUAGAUGGGGAGGAAGGAGCGAGACCGUCCACACAGGGCUCCUGAACGACCACCAUGGGCGGUCACGACAUGCAAGGGUGCAAGGUAGGCGCUGUCCUCUGGUUCAUAAGCUACCGGGGAGGUGGGGCGUCGCACAACAAUCAAUCGUACAAGGGGAGGUACCACCGCUACUUGUAAGUGCUGUUCCUGUGUGGGUCUUUGUGGGAUCCGGCCUUGCCCCGCAGGGAGCUCACGGUCUUGGGCGGGAGAUGAGUGUCUGUGUGUCUGUGCGUGUGUCUGAGUCUUAAAAUCCACUCAUCUUCACGUAUGAUGAGUUACGAGCAGCUCAGCAAAGGGCUGAGUCACGGCGAGUCGGUGGAGCUGGGCUGGGCAGCGAGGAGAGGAGGAGGGGGAAGAUGGGAGGACCAAGGUGGAGAAGACAGGG